GAGAGUGUGACUCAAGUGGUAGAGUGCUUGGCUAGUAAGCAAAAGAUCUUGAGUUCAAAUCCCAGCACUGCCA
rnacentral:tRNA from 1 species